AGAAAAUACAGCUUUAAAAAGUUAUGUCUAUCAAUCAAGACAAGGCAAGGAAUUCAUUAUCCAAUACCUCGACUCCUCAAGGAACACCCUAGGUUCUCUCGUUCCAUAGUCUUUAUCUUCUUCUUAUAUGGAUGGCACAAAAUCAAACGAAAAAAAAAGGGGAAAAGUAGAAAGAAUAGAAAGAAAGAAAGAACCUUGUAUGUGUGAAUGAUAUAAUCCAAGAUGGACUUUUCAAAGUGUCCUUUUCCAUCA